rnacentral:misc_RNA from 1 species
GGACGACUUGCCUAAACGAGUAUCUUUUGCCAGGAAGAACACAAUCGUUGAAAGUUUCAUCCAAUGGAACCUUUGAAGGAAUAAUACACCCUAUCUCCUGUCCAAAUGCAGGACAGUCCAACCAACCUGGAGGAAGUCUGCUGCUAGGUUUCUGUCUCUUUGGCUGAAAGAUCUCAUCCUGCAUUCGUGGUUGAGAUGGAUAUGCUGGUCUAUCAUCUGGAUGUUGUCUUUUAAGUUUUUGAAUCCUUUCCUCCCGCUCGCGACGUGAAAUCUCUACAGCACUCGUGACAUAAUCUGCACGCUCAUCACUACGUAAAAUAGGUUCUUGUGGUUCAUCUUCUAAUUGUUGUCCAAAAAUCUCGUCGUCAUCCUCUGGCUGUGGCAAGGCAUUCAAAUCCAUGCUGGUGAUUCAAGUCUCAACAGAAAGCAUAUGUCAAGGUUCCUGCAAGCAAUUUAUAGUUCUGCUCCUAACGUAAAAGAAAUUGCAGAAGCCAACGACUUAGAGGAACUCAGCUCGAAAACCAGAAUAAAACUUCACGCUUCACCGUACAAAGAACUGGAAAAAACCCCUACAAUUACCUAACUAGAAAUUUUAUGAAAUCAAACCACAAAAUCCUAGAGAGAGAAGGAAGUGGCCAUGCUGUUAGAGAGAGAAAGAGAGAUCAGAGAGAUUGAUUUAUGGUUCAAUCCAUGACGACGAGAAAGGAUUUACCGAUUGCGAACAAUUGAAAGCUCUCUCA